GGAUAGCUCAGUUGGUCGAGCAUGAGACUCUUAAUCACACGGUUGUAGGUUCAAGCCUCACGUUGGGCA